rnacentral:lncRNA from 1 species
CCGGUGAGGCUGGGAGGGAUCGGGCAGCCAGGAUCCGAGGGAGGGACCCGGAUGGAGCCCCACCUCCUGUCCCGCACCCCUCCGCAGGUACCCGCGAGUGAUGGCCGAGGAGGGCCUUCGGGUGGUGAGGCAGUGGCUGGAGGCCUCGUCCCAGCUGGAGGAAGGUGAGACCCCGGGAGGCCUGUAGGGGCGGCGCCUGGCAAGGCCGGCUGCUGAGAGCUGUCUCUGCCCCAGCAGCCUCGGUUUACAGCCGCUGGGAGGUGGAGGAGGACUGGUGCCUGUCCGUGCUCCGCUCGUACCAGGCAGAACACGGGCCUGACUUCCCCUGGAGCGUGGGGGAGGACAUGAAGGCCGAGGGACGCCAGCAGCUGGCCUUGUUUCUGGCUCGGAAGCAUCUGCACAACUUUGAGGCCACACACUGCACCCCACUCCCAGCCCAGAACUUCCAGAUGCCCUGGCACCUGUAGGGACCGCACCCGCUCGGUCUGGAAGGAGAGGGCGGGAGGAGGCGUGUGAGGCGCUCUCUUCGCGUUGCCCUUGAGUGUGGACAGCGGGCACCCACCUCACUGCCCUCCUGCACGUCCUCCCGCAGCCCCAGGCAGGACCUAACCUUCCCCGACACGCCCCUGCAUUACGUGAUCGCGUUAUUCCUAGUCAUUAAUAAAAAGGUAUUUUUUCUACUGUCUGUCUAAUUGUGAGUUCCCAGGGGUCCAGCGAUCAAGGCGGCUGGUAGCGAGGACAGCAGAGGCCCCGAAGGCCCAGGCUUGGGAACCAACUCCAGACCGCCAGUGUCACCUCCAGGCCUGCGCGUUCCCAGCCGCCUGCCUAGCCGCCCUGUGCACAUCCCAGCCAGACUGCCCCUCUUGCUCAGAACUCUUCUGCUCUGGUUGACAGAGUGCUUCUCAGUGCUGAUUUCACCUGCUCAGCACCUCUAUAGGUUUCUGGGGUCAGCCUGCAGUAGCCCCUCUCCCAGUGCCCCCAGUUUUCCUUGCUCAGCUUUGCUGACCCCGGGAGUGAGGAGCCCACACCUGCAUCUUGUGCAGCGCUCCCUGCCUGGCCUGCCCACUCCCUUCAGCAUUCAACACACUCGGGCUACCGGGGCGGGGGCCGGGGCCUCCUGUCCUCCCAGAGCCAUGCUUGGCUUUGCAGCCCCCGUUAGAAGGAAACUUAGGCUGAACCUGAGGAAACUGGUUUCCAUAACUCCUAUUUCUAAUCCUUGCAUCUUGAACAGAACGAGUCCACAUCCCACCCCUCAGUUUGUUGCCGGGCCAUCUUCUUCCAUUGGAAACCUCUUUUCCAGGUAUCCUUUGACGGAAGAGGGACACUCUGCAUGGAUGGCGUCCACUGCUACUGUCACCAUGGCGACUGUGGCAACGCCCCUUCCUAGGAAAGCCUCCGUGGAAACUGUCUCCAAGGAAACGCACUAGAGCUCCCAGGCUAACGUCGGAGGCCCCGCCCCGCCGGAGGCCCCGCCCCAUCCUGACUCUUCCUUUCGGCCGCGCGCGGCGUGGGCGCGGGAACGCUCCUUGAGUCUGGGGCGGGCUCCGGGAGCCCAGCUCUACCUGGCCCUGGUCCUUGGCCCUCCCCUCCAGAGCCACCCGCUCUCAGUUCUGUCCCUCACUCGGCGCGCUCCGAUAUUCCACAGACCUCGGAACACGUGGCGGCCCCGCGCCCCGCUCGCCACCACUCUGACUUUCUCUAAAUUUCUCAGCCUCCU